rnacentral:rRNA from 1 species
UAAUACGUAGGGUGCAGGCGUUAAUCGGAAUUACUGGGCGUAAAGCGUGCGCAGGCGGCUCCUUAAGUCAGAUGUGAAAGCCCCGGGCUUAACCUGGGAACUGCGUUUGAAACUGGGGAGCUGGAGUGUAGAAGAGGGGGGUGGAAUUCCAGGUGUAGCAGUGAAAUGCGUAGAGAUCUGGAGGAACACCGAUGGCGAAGGCAGCCCCCUGGGCUAACACUGACGCUCAUGCACGAAAGCGUGGGGAGCAAACAGGAUUAGAUACCCUGGUAGUCCACGCCCUAAACGAUGUCAACUGGUUGUCGGGGAAGUAAUUCCUUGGUAACGAAGCUAACGCGUGAAGUUGACCGCCUGGGGAGUACGGCCGCAAGGCU